AUACUGUUAUUUUGUAUAGCUCGUAUACAUCCUGAAUGUGGCAGGAAAGUAUCUACCGGAGACCGUAAAUCCCCGACUAUGGGUGAAUUUUUAUGGUGU
rfam:Clostridium tyrobutyricum DIVETGP, WGS project CBXI01000000 data, contig: NODE_83